rnacentral:lncRNA from 1 species
UCUAUAUCGAUAAAUCCAGCUUUCAAGGAAGUAAUAUAGAGACUCUUGUUGCAUGAAGAGGUUUCGUGAGGUCAUUUACUUAGCCAACAUACUAUUCAUGCUGAAGUGCAUAUAUAGUUUCGAUCUCUCAAAUUGCGUCAAUCAAUAAAUAUUUCUAAAAUUAUUGUAAUUUUAGUGAGCUAUUACAUAAAUUAUUUUUCGCAUCGAAAAUACUAUAUACAAAUGACUAUUACAUUUAAAUUAUAAAUCUACGAAUUGAAUCAAUAGAUGAGUGAUUGCCAAACCCCGCACAACUUGGGUUAUGAUGGGCGGGUCAAGAUGCACUAAAUAAUAGGUCAAUAGUGUCGAAUCCGCCCAACUUGACCCAAGUGAAUAACUGGGAUAGUGAAUUUGUUCUCUUUGGGUGAGGGAGAAUAGAAGCAUAAUUGGGUGGGAAUAUUAGGAUUGGGUGAUAAGUGUUAGCAGUUAGCUUGCCACAAUUCACUCGAAAGCUAAGCCAUAAUGAAGUGAAUUAUAACAUGAUCACUCACCUGGAGCUUGAUGACAGUCUCCCAUAAUAUAUAUUGAGCCUCUAACUAAUUAAUUGAAGAUAGACUUGCGAGAAAUCUAGAACUCUAAUUCCUCUAACUUAAAAAAAAAACUCUAACUGAAAAUUUGCAACUACUCAAACUCUAUAUAAAUAAAUCUAGCUUUCAAGGAAGUAAUAUAGAGACUCUUGUUGCAUGAAGAGGUUUCGUGAGGUUAUUUACUUAUAGCCCACGUACUAUUCAUGUUGAAGUACGUACUGCAUAUAUAUAGGUAGUUUCGAUCUCUCAAAUUGCAUCAAUCAAUAAAUUUACGAUACAGGAUUCUGCAUCCCAUAUCUUAUCAUCCACAUCUUGGAUACGCAAAGAGACUAGUCUAGUUGUUUGUCAAGAUCUAAGAUUGGCCUUACAAUUAAUUCAUGGAUUUUCCUACUAAGCUUGAGCAUCUUCUUGUGUUCUUUCUCAUUAUAAUUCCCACCCUCUUUGGUACUCAUCAAUUAAAGUCUAGUUAUGAGACUUACCUUAAAUUAAUUGUGACAUGUAUCUUUUUUCUUGUUGUUUUAAACACCUAAAUCAAAUAUUCAUUUCUUUUUCCUAAUAAAUUAUUUUUUAUCUUGUGCGAAUUUAAAUUGCUCAUACUUUGUUGGCACUUAAACUCCUUUUAUUCCAUUUUCUCUUCAAACAGGUUGGGAAAAAAUAGAAGGCAACAAACUUUAUGUUGGAGAAUUUGACAGAAAACUGAAAGCUACCAAAGGGGAGAAAAUACAACUAGAUUUUUGCCAGCAUGUUGCUCACUGCAAAACUGGCAGACCUUGCUAUUGCUGUUUAAUCAUGGGCAGAACUGAUUGUUAUUAUACAAUGCAACUUUGUGAGCAAGGAUGUCCCAAAUUUCCCCCUUCGACUCACAACCAUCAGAUCAAAAUCCCCUCGUGAUCUCAUGGUGUAUAUACAGGGGCUGACAACGUUAGAGCAAAAAUAAUAUUUAGUUAAGCAUAUAUUGGAGUAAGUUGUAACUAAAAGGAAAAUUCAGAUCUGUGCAUGUUAGCUUCUGUUUCGGUAGCAAAGCUAUAUUUUUAUUAUUUGAUACGUUCCCUUAUUCCAUUCCAUGCUUCUUUAAAUUAUAGACCUAAACGUUAAAUCGUGAUGAAGAAAGUCUAAAGUAAAUGGCUCUUUAGAUGGUAAACUAUCAAAUUAAAGAUGAGGCUGCAAAUGUGGGAAUUCACUUUAAAUAAUCAAGACGAUAAAUGGAAAUGCAUAUUACUAUACCAGUUUACAUUUUACACAAUGAAGCUAAUGGCCAGAAAAAAGUCCUCUCUUUUCCCAUACAAAUUAAUUCCUUCUGAUUGUCUAACAGUCAAAGUCUAAAUCAUUAUGCAUGGCAUCUACUUAUUAUUUUGUUAAAUUCUUCACAUAUCUCCCAUAUUAAAGUUGGUCUGUCACUGUUGUUCUUCUCACGGGUCUUUUCCCAAUCCUUCUAUCCUUACGAUCAAUUCAAGAGAUGAAUGUUGCUACUGAAAACUGUGAUUACUAA